rnacentral:rRNA from 1 species
AGAUUGAACGCUGGCGGCAGGCCUAACACAUGCAAGUCGAGCGGUAGAGAGGUGCUUGCACCCCUUGAGAGCGGCGGACGGGUGAGUAGUGCCUAGGAAUCUGCCUAGUGGUGGGGGAUAACGUUCGGAAACGGACGCUAAUACCGCAUACGUCCUACGGGAGAAAGCGGGGGGACCUUCGGGCCUCGCGCCAUUAGAUGAGCCUAGGUCGAUUAGCUAGUUGGUGAGGUAAUGGCUCACCAAGGCGACGAUCCGGUAACUGGUCUGUAGAGGGAUGAUCAGUCACACUGGAACUGAGUACACGGUCCAGGACUCCGUACGGGAGGCAGGUCGAGUCGGGGGAAUUAUUCGGACAAGUUGGGACCGAAAGG